UACGUAGGUGGCAAGCGUUGUCCGGAAUUAUUGGGCGUAAAGCGCGCGCAGGCGGUCCUUUAAGUCUGAUGUGAAAGCCCACGGCUCAACCGUGGAGGGUCAUUGGAAACUGGGGGACUUGAGUACAGAAGAGGAAAGUGGAAUUCCACGUGUAGCGGUGAAAUGCGUAGAGAUGUGGAGGAACACCAGUGGCGAAGGCGGACUUUCUGGUCUGUAACUGACGCUGGAGGCGC
rnacentral:rRNA from 1 species